GUCUAUUUCUCCGAAACGUGUCCGUAAUAUCCAAUAUUCCCCAAACGUGUCUGAUUUUAUAACCCCAAAACGUGUCCGAUAAUUGUUAUUCGCCAAAACGUGUCUACUAUUAAACGCCAGGACGUCUCACGUCUUUUAGCGCUAAAACAUGAAUAAAAUCAAUAACGUUUACGGCAAUUCUAUAAUGGGGGACACAGUUGAUGAAGUGGUCAUAUAUUAGUAUUAGUUGGUUCAAUGCCGGUUGUUA
rnacentral:lncRNA from 1 species